rnacentral:rRNA from 1 species
UGGCCAGACUCCUACGGGAGGCAGCAGUGAGGAAUAUUGGUCAAUGGGCGGGAGCCUGAACCAGCCAAGUCGCGUGAGGGAAGACGGUCCUAUGGAUUGUAAACCUCUUUAGGCGGGGAGCAAUGCCGGGCACGCGUGCCCGGAGGGAGAGUACCCGUAGAACAAGCAUCGGCUAACUCCGUGCCAGCAGCCGCGGUAAUACGGAGGAUGCGAGCGUUAUCCGGAUUUAUUGGGUUUAAAGGGUGCGCAGGCGGCACGGCAAGCCGGCGGUCAAAUCGCGGGGCUCAACCCCGCCCAGCCGUCGGAACUGCCGGGCUAGAGUGGGCGAGAAGUGCGCGGAAUGCGUGGUGUAGCGGUGAAAUGCAUAGAUAUCACGCAGAACUCCGAUUGCGAAGGCAGCGCACCGGCGCCCUACUGACGCUCAGGCACGAAAGCGUGGGUAUCGAACAGGAUUAGAUACCCGAGUAU